rnacentral:rRNA from 1 species
CAGUCGCCGCGGUAAUACGAAGGGUGCAAGCGUUAAUCGGAAUUACUGGGCGUAAAGCGUGCGCAGGCGGUUUCUCAAGUCAGUGGUGAAAGCCCGGAGCUCAACUCCGGAACUGCCAUUGAAACUGUGAAGCUGGAGGACGAGAGAGGUGAGUGGAAUUCCCGGUGUAGCGGUGAAAUGCGUAGAUAUCGGAAGGAACACCUAUGGCGAAAGCGGCUCACUGGACCAUUUCUGACGCUGAUGCACGAAAGCUAGGGGAGCAAACAGGAUUAGAUACCCCCGUAGUCCCUGUCUCUUAUAC